UACGGCUCAGUAACACGUAGCUAACCUACCCUUAAGUCAGGGAUAGCCUCUGGGAAACUGAGGCUAAUACCUGAUAAGAGAUAUACCCUGGAAUGAUGUAUCUCUGAAACUCGCGCUUAAGGAUGGGGCUGCGGUGGAUUAGGUUGUUGGCGGGGUAACUGCCCACCAAGCCUAUGAUCCAUAAGGGCUCUUAGCGGAGAAGCCCUGAGAGGGAAUCUGAGACACUAUUCCCAGCCCUACGGGGUGCAGCAGUUAGGAAUCUUUUGCAAUGCGCGCAAGCGUGACAAAUUGAACCAGAGUGCUUUUCAAUUGAAAAGCUUUUGCCAAAUGUAAAUAGUUUGGAGAAUAAGGACUGGGUAAGACUAGUGCCAGCCGCCGCGGUAAUACUAGCGGUCCAAGUCGCAGCCAUUUUUAUUGGGUCUAAAACAUCCGUAGCUUGUUCAGUGAGUUUCCUGUGAAAUCUUAUCUCUCAAAGGUAGGGCGUGCGGGAAGUACUGCUGAACUAGAGACUGGAAGACGUAGGAAGUACGUUCAAAGUAGUGGUAAAAUACUUUAAUCUUGAGCGGACUCGCAAUAGCGAAGGCAUCCUACGAGGACAGUUCUGACAGUAAGGGAUGAAGGCUAGGGGCGCAAAACGGAUUAGAUACCCGUGUAGUCCUAGCAGUAAACACUGCACACUAAACAUCAGUACCUCUUCGAGAGGUAUUGGUGCUGCAGCGAAGGCGAAGAGUGUGCUACCUGGGAAGUAUAGUCGCAAGGCCGAAACUUAAAGGAAUUGGCGG
rnacentral:rRNA from 1 species